rnacentral:rRNA from 1 species
CCUACGGGAGGCAGCAGUGAGGAAUAUUGGUCAAUGGACGCAAGUCUGAACCAGCCAUGCCGCGUGCAGGAAGACGGCUCUAUGAGUUGUAAACUGCUUUUGUACGAGGGUAAACGCAGAUACGCGUAUCUGUCUGAAAGUAUCGUACGAAUAAGGAUCGGCUAACUCCGUGCCAGCAGCCGCGGUAAUACGGAGGAUUCAAGCGUUAUCCGGAUUUAUUGGGUUUAAAGGGUGCGUAGGCGGUCGGAUAAGUUAGAGGUGAAAUCCCGAGGCUCAACUUCGGAAUUGCCUCUGAUACUGUUCGGCUAGAGAGUAGUUGCGGUAGGCGGAAUGUAUGGUGUAGCGGUGAAAUGCUUAGAGAUCAUACAGAACACCGAUUGCGAAGGCAGCUUACCAAGCUACAUCUGACGCUGAUGCUCGAAAGCGCGGGUAUCGAACAGGAUUAGAUACCCGGGUAGUC